rnacentral:rRNA from 1 species
AUUGAACGCUGGCGGCAUGCCUUACACAUGCAAGUCGAACGGCAGCACGGGUGCUUGCACCUGGUGGCGAGUGGCGAACGGGUGAGUAAUACAUCGGAACGUACCUUAUCGUGGGGGAUAACGCAGCGAAAGCUGUGCUAAUACCGCAUACGCCCUGAGGGGGAAAGCGGGGGAUCGCAAGACCUCGCGCGAUUAGAGCGGCCGAUGCCUGAUUAGCUUGUUGGGGGGGUAAAAGCCCACCAAGGCGACGAUCAGUAGCUGGUCUGCGAGGACGAUCAGCCAAGCUGGGACUGGGGCACGGCCCAGACUCCUACGGGAGGCAGCAGUGGGGAAUUUUGGACAAUGGGGGCAACCCUGAUCCAGCAAUGCCGCGUGAGUGAAGAAGGCCUUCGGGUUGUAAAGCUCUUUUGUCAGGGAAGAAACACCGGCUCUAACACAGUCCGGGAAUGACGGUACCUGAAGAAUAAGCACCGGCUAACUACGUGCCAGCCGCCGCCGUA